UUCCGCGGUCCUUGAUUUGUCCGCACUGCUUUAAGUUAGCUAUCUACCCUGAGUGAAGCAACUGAAUUCUUUUUCUUUGCCGGAGGUUCUAUCAUGCCGAAACGGGACCAGCAUAAGGACACGUGAUGGGAUCGCAGACGUGCAGGCAUUCUACGCCACUGAAGAUUAAAUUGUGCAAGCGCGACAGACAGUGACACGUGUAGGAGAGGAAGGAAGGAAGAAGCGGCGUGGCAAUCAUUGAAUGGCAUGCGAACGAGCAACAACGCGGAUGAGAAGGGCCUCCAAAAGGGCACAAUUCCUAAACAAGCUACGAGUGGAGGGAAACAGGCUAAACUAUGGACAGGAAGUCAACGCGAUGAAAUCAGCGCGUGCACGGCACGUGGCGUACACGUGCAUGGCGCGUGCAGUGCACGUGGCCGUGGGUCGGCUGACCGUUUGACUUCCCGGAUUGCGCGCUUCUUUGUUCUCUCCGUGUUCUAAACUGCACUAGACGUCAGAAAACGCAAAAUAUAUAAUUAAGGGGCAAUGCCACAUCAUUGUGUACAACAGCUAUCCAAACAGUACUAGGUCUGUUCAUUGUCUUGAUCACAUCAGCGACCUUUCAUCACUACAAUACAUCAACCACAAAUACAAAGGCAAUUUACUACAUCCAUAUCUGUGGCUACUGAUGAAACCAUGCCAGUUCAAGAAGAGAUGAUACGAUGCCUUUGCAUCUGGAAGAGGCCACAACAGAGAGCAAUCAGCUGCAGUAUCGUCCAGAGACAACUGAAUUGCA